rnacentral:rRNA from 1 species
UUGGCGGGCCGCGGUCCUCCGCGGCCGCCCUCCGUCCGGGGGGUGGCCAGCGCCCGCCAGAGGACCAUCAAACUCCGGUCAGUGAACGUUGCCGUCUGAAAAACAAUCAAUAAACUAAAACUUUCAACAACGGAUCUCUUGGUUCUGGCAUCGAUGAAGAACGCAGCGAAAUGCGAUAAGUAAUGUGAAUUGCAGAAUUCAGUGAAUCAUCGAAUCUUUGAACGCACAUUGCGCCCCUCGGUAUUCCGAGGGGCAUGCCUGUUCGAGCGUCAUUACAACCCUCAAGCUCUGCUUGGUGUUGGGCACCGCCCUUCCGCGGGCGCGCCUCAAAGACCUCGGCGGUGGCGUCUUGCCUCGAGCGUAGUAGAAAACACCUCGCUUUGGAGCGCACGGCGCCGCCCGCCGGACGAACCUUUUGAACUUUCUCAAGGUUGACCUCGGAUCAGGUAGG